GUUGAGGCCUAGUAAUUGGAUGUUUGUUGAUGACGUCACCCUCUCCCAAGCCAUCCAUCGUAACUCCCCCCUGGAAUACAACAGGAUCUCAACUCUAUCGAUGAGUAAUAACAUGAAAUUACACCGUACGUAAAUGGCUUACAUAAACAAAAGGAAUAUUGUUCUUGCUUCGUUCUUUAGAAAAUCCAUUCUAUAGACCCAUUGCACAUGAUGUCACAGCGCCGGUGACGAUGAUCUGGGGGAC